rnacentral:rRNA from 1 species
UACGUAGGGUGCAAGCGUUAAUCGGAAUUACUGGGCGUAAAGCGUGCGCAGGCGGUUUUGUAAGUCUGUUGUGAAAUCCCCGGGCUCAACCUGGGAAUGGCAAUGGAGACUGCAAGGCUAGAGUGCAGUAGAGGAUGGCGGAAUACCUAGUGGAGAGGUGAAAUUCGUAGAUAUUAGGUGGAACACCGGUGGCGAAGGCGGCCAUCUGGGCUGUAACUGACGCUGAGGCGCGAGAGCGUGGGGAGCAAACAGG